rnacentral:rRNA from 1 species
CAGUAGCCGCGGGAAUACGGAGGGAGCUAGCGUUGCUCGGAAUUACUGGGCGUAAAGCGCGCGUAGGCGGUUACUCAAGUCAGAGGUGAAAGCCCGGGGCUCAACCCCGGAACUGCCUUUGAAACUAGGUGACUAGAAUCUUGGAGAGGUCAGUGGAAUUCCGAGUGUAGAGGUGAAAUUCGUAGAUAUUCGGAAGAACACCAGUGGCGAAGGCGACUGACUGGACAAGUAUUGACGCUGAGGUGCGAAAGCGUGGGGAGCAAACAGGAUUAGAGACCCCCGUAGUCCCUGUCUCUUAUAA